AGUACCUACAUUACUGCACGAGACCGGGAAGUAAGCGUUUUCUGAUCGAGUGUGAGUCAGACGGCCGAGCCUUGGCGAGGACAUCUAAAACACGAAGUCAGAAAGGCACUCCCGGUGGAGGCAUAUAUAGUGUUUUUC